AGGAUAUAGAAGAUAUUGAGGAGUGCUUCAUUGGGAAUGUCGGUAUGGAUGAGCACUUGGCCUUUUCACGGAGUAGUGUGAUCACAAUGACCAAUUACUUGUGGAAUUGCAAAAGAUUACCGGAAGACAUUCCACUUGAAACUAACAAAACAGAAAAACCCAUUCCAGAAACCUUUAUACCAUCAGAAACAACCUGUCCAUACUGCCCAGGGUCAUGUCCUCCCGAUCUUAGCAAUGCUUUUGUGGUUACAACACAAGCAACUGUUUAUGGGAUGUUUUGGCAGAAUAGAGGUAUUUCCGUUUAUGCCAAGGCAUGCCCAGUUUGCAGAAAUGUAGUUCGUUUUCAGGACUACAAUUCUGGAUUCCCCAAUUAUAACAACAGGGUCUUUCUUUCCAUCCCGCUUUGUUUUCUACUCACAACAUAACAUAUAAACAACAUGUUUAAAGGUACAUUCUGUAUUUUUUUUUUGCAGAAUCACAUUGUUGUUGGUAGAAUGCUGCACACUAUAGAAUCUCAUUCUGGGACUACAGUGCCACACAACACUGAGAAAAGCAUUCUACCACUUCAGUGCUCUCAGGCAGUAUACGUACAGUUAUUUCUGUUACCGCUGUGGACACCACCCAUCUGUGGUCAUUGCUGAUUGAAGAUUGCCUUUGAUUUGCCAGAUGAGUGUUAGUGAAUAUAUUUUGUUUAAAAUAGAAAUAUCUUCAGAGUACAUAGCUUAAAGGAAUAGCUGACCUAAAAUUUUAAAGUCUCUUAUUUUUUACUCACAAGUCCGUUCUCUGCGUUCUUGGAAUUGAGAAACAGCCGUAGUUUUGUGUUUCUCUUCUCUGUUUCUGCUUAUUAACAGCAGGUGUUCACCAUCAGUGCUCAAUCAUAACUUAA
rnacentral:lncRNA from 1 species